rnacentral:lncRNA from 1 species
AAACUCUAGCUUUUAUCCUGCCUAAUCUGAUGAUGCCGGUUAACAUAAAAGGAUGGGAUCCUUUUGUGUGCCAAUAAUAAACCUUCUUUCAUCGUGAGAAAAAGAAGAGAGAAGGGUGUGCGACCAGCGGGGGUGUGGGAUUAUGUUGAGCAUGUAAAACAAAGGAAAAUAACCUCUGUGGGGUGUGAGAUCAAGGGUAGGUGUGAGUUCUAGAUCUAAGGUUUUAGAUCUAAUGAUUGGAAGAGAAGAAAAUAGGAAGAAGGAGUUCUUUUUUAUUUUUUUCUCUAACUUCCAGUAGUACCUCCUCUGAUCCAUCUUUAACAUUGAAAAAAUUCAAGGUGAUCGAAGAAGAAAAUCAAAUUAGAUCUACUAUUAAAAGUCAACUAUGCGAGCUAGCACUCCUGCAGAGGGCUGAUC